rnacentral:rRNA from 1 species
CCUACGGGUGGCAGCAGUGGGGGAUAUUGCACAAUGGGGGAAACCCUGAUGCAGCGACGCCGCGUGUGGGAAGACGGUCCUCUGGAUUGUAAACCACUGUCCCCAGGGACGAAGAUGACGGUACCUGGGGAGGAAGCUCCGGCUAACUACGUGCCAGCAGCCGCGGUAAUACGUAGGUAGCGAGCGUUGUCCGGAAUUACUGGGUGUAAAGGGUGCGUAGGCGGGUUAUCAAGUCAGCGGUAAAAUCGUGGAGCUCAACUCCAUCCAGCCGUUGAAACUGAUGAUCUUGAGUGGGCGAGAAGUAUGCGGAAUGCGUGGUGUAGCGGUGAAAUGCAUAGAUAUCACGAAGAACUCCGAUUGCGAAGGCAGCUUACUAAACUGCCACUGACAUUGAUGCUCGAAAGUGUGGGUAUCAAACAGGAUUAGAUACCCUAGUAGUC